rnacentral:rRNA from 1 species
AUUGAACGCUGGCGGCAGGCCUAACACAUGCAAGUCGAACGAGUGGCGGAUGGGUGAGUAAUGUCUGGGAAACUGCCCGAUGGAGGGGGAUAACUAAUGGAAACGGUAGCUAAUACCGCAUACCAUCGGAUGUGCCCAGAUGGGAUUAGCUAGGAGGUGGGGUAAUGGCUCACCUAGGCGACGAUCCCUAGCUGGUCUGAGAGUAUGACCAGCCACACUGGAACUGAGGCACGGUCCAGACUCCUACGUGGGGCAGCAGUGGGGAAUAUUGCACGAUGGGCGCAAGCCGGAUGCAGCCAUGCCGCGUGUAUGAAGAAGGCCUUCGGGUUUUAAAGUACUUACAGCGGGGAGGCGUUACCCGCAGAAGAAGCACCGGCUAACUCCGUGCCAGCAGCCGCGGUAAUUC